CGAUAACGAACGAGACCUUAACCUGCUAACUAGUGGCGCCCUCUUCGGAGGGUGAUUUUUACCCACUUCUUAGAGGGACUGUGCGCGUUCAGCGCACGGAAGUUUGAGGCAAUAACAGGUCUGUGAUGCCCUUAGAUGUUCUGGGCCGCACGCGCAAUACACUGACAAAGGCAGCGAGUACUUUCCACCUUGGCCGGAAGGCCUGGGUAAUCUUGUGAAACUUUGUCGUGCUUGGGAUAGUCCCUUGCAAUUAUUGGACUUGAACGAGGAACUCCUAGUAAGCGCAAGUCAUCAACUUGCGUUGAUUACGUCCCUGCCCUUUGUACACACCGCCCGUCGCUACUACCGAUUGAAUGGCU
rnacentral:rRNA from 1 species